UAAGGAGUUUGUAACGUUAAAAAAAAAAAAAAAAAACGACCGAGGGGCAAAAUGGACAUUUUACCCCUCAGCCCAUUAUAGGGGUCUUGAGCGUCCUCCUCAGAGUUCCUGCAAAAGAAGAAGAGUGAGAGAGAAGGACUGAGAGAAAGUUUGAGAGAGAAAACUGAUUUGCCGGAGUUUUCAUCGGAGAGUCGUCGACGGAAUCCAUUCCCUACCAAGACCUGUACUCUGGAGCCCUUCUUGGAGUGAAGUAAGAACUCGUGUGGAGAUUUCCUCCUCUUUCCUCAAGAUCAGAAAGGAAACCCGCAAGGUACGUGAGGCGUCGAGUCUAGAGAGGGCGCGUUGAUCGAUGUGGGUUGUCGCAGAGGAAGCGUGUCCCGGGGCGUCAGUCUAGUUUACUAAAUAGUACACUUUGUCUCUCCUGUUCCUUUCCUUGUUUUUACCUAGGCACAUAUGUCCUUUUAGUAAAGAAACGUUUUUCUUACAAAUAAAUGAAAUUCUAUUGUUGUAAA